CUUUUGCUGGAUUCUCCACAGCGUUCAUCAUCACUAAAAUCAGAAUCAUAGCCUCCAUGACCAUGCAUCUGUUCAAGCCAUAUUGUCCUCUCACUCUUUGUCCUAUGUCCUCACGUUCUUUACAUCUUGAUGGGGGACAGCUGUAGUGUGUUUAGAGAUAUAUUCUAGGAUCAGCCUACUAGAUUUCACUGCUUGGCUCUGCACUUUCCAUUUGUCUUUCUUUGGGCCUGUUCCUUAACCUCUCCAAGCCUCAGUGUCCUCAUUUAUAAAAAGAGGCUAGUAAGAUGGCUGACCUCAUACGAAUGGAGAUUAAAAGAGUUGCCUCAUCUAAAGGGUUUUAACGGUGUCUUGUACAGUGAAACCCAGUAAAUGUUACAUCAUCAUCAUCAUCUUUUCCCUCGCCCCAGGACACGACUUCCUAUUCUUGCUCCCACUCUCCCAUUUCUUUAUUCGCUGGCCGCUCCAUCCGACCCAUACCUAUCUUAACUCACUGGUUGAACUAAAAAGCUCUCACUCACUUCAGGCCUACGAAUCAACUGACAAGAGCGGGGAGAAACUCAAAAACGGAGAUGCCAGGUGUCUCCAGAAUCUGUCAUCCAAAAAAAAAAAAACCAAACCAAAACAAAAAAAAACCCGACGAUCAGCUAGUACUAUAUGAAAAACAAGUUUUGAGGUCCUUCUCCCUGAUGCCAAAUAUACCCACAGCCCUCCUCACACACCCUUUCCCUUCCUCCCUGUGUGCCAAGUUCGCCCCCGGAGUCGUCGUUUCCUUCUUUCCCGGCAGCUGCAGCGACGACCCACGGCCUGAGAGAGCCGCUGCAGCACAGGUCCCGUGCGCCCUGCCGCACAGCCUCGCCACAACCACCACCGCCGC
rnacentral:lncRNA from 1 species